rnacentral:rRNA from 1 species
CAAUAAGCGGAGGAAGAGAAACCAACAGGGAUUGCCUUAGUAACGGCGAGUGAGGCGGCAACAGCUCAAAUUUGAAAUCUGGCGCAAGCCCGAGUUGUAAUUUGGAGAGGAUGCUUACUGGGCAGCGGUCGGCUUAAGUUUCUUGGAACAGAACGUCACAGAGGGUGAGAAUCCCGUAUGUGGUCGACUCGCACCCUGUCACGUAGUCUCCUUCGACGAGUCGAGUUGUUUGGGAAUGCAGCUCAAAAUGGGAGGUAAAUUGUCUCCUAAGGCUAAAUAUCGGCCAGAGACCGAUAGCGCACAAGUAGAGUGAUCGAAAGAUGAAAAGCACUUUGGAAAGAGAGUUAAAAAGCACGUGAAAUUGUUGAAAGGGAAGCGCUUGCUGCCAGACUUAUAGACGGUGUUCCGCCGGUCUUCUGACCGGUACACUCGCCGUCCGUAAGCCAACAUCAUCUGAUGGCCGGGGGAGCAAAGGUGUAGGGGAAAUUGUACACUCCCCCCGGGGGAGGUGUUGAUAAGGCCCCCUUCACCCCCAAUAACCGGUCGGCGUGGUUCCCGGGUGGAGGGGUUCCCGCGCCCUUUCCGGGCCCCAAGGGAAUUGUUGGGUGGGCGGUAAAUUGGGGCCAAGGUAAAAGCCCCGGGCCCCCCGGUCCCUCUUGGAAAAAACCAAACCGGGGAACCCCAAGAGGGGCAGGAANAGUA